rnacentral:rRNA from 1 species
GAUGAACGCUGGCGGCGUGCCUAACACAUGCAAGUCGAACGGAGUCGUUUUGGAAAUCUCUUCGGAGAUGGAAUUCUCGACUUAGUGGCGGACGGGUGAGUAACGCGUGAGCAAUCUGCCUUUAAGAGGGGGAUAACAGUCGGAAACGGCUGCUAAUACCGCAUAAAGCAUUAAAUUCGCAUGUUUUUGAUGCCAAAGGAGCAAUCCGCUUUUAGAUGAGCUCGCGUCUGAUUAGCUAGUUGGCGGGGUAACGGCCCACCAAGGCGACGAUCAGUAGCCGGACUGAGAGGUUGAACGGCCACAUUGGGACUGAGACACGGCCCAGACUCCUACGGGAGGCAGCAGUGGGGAAUAUUGCGCAAUGGGGGAAACCCUGACGCAGCAACGCCGCGUGAUUGAAGAAGGCCUUCGGGCUGUAAAGAUCUUUAAUCAGGGACGAAACAAAUGACGGUACCUGAAGAAUAAGCUCCGGCUAACUACGUG